rnacentral:siRNA from 1 species
AAUCAUUAAAUAAUCCACGACUA